rnacentral:ncRNA from 1 species
AGUAUUGCAAUGAAGAAGAGGAGUAAGUAAAUAACCUACAUAGAGAGUAUAGUCCAUAGGCUGAAAGACUUUACUAGGCAAUGUUUACUGAAGGUAGCUUCUGAGCUUUCAAGCUGAAAAUAUAGUAGGCUUGAACGGUUGUAGCCGUUAUUUUAAUGAGAGCUAGAUACGUUGUAUCUGGAAAUAAGGUGGUACCGCGAUUACGGCCCUUCGUCCUUAUA